AGAGUUUGAUCAUGGCUCAGAUUGAACGCUGGCGGCAGGCCUAACACAUGCAAGUCGAGCGGCAGCGGAAAGUAGCUUGCUACUUUGCCGGCGAGCGGCGGACGGGUGAGUAAUGUCUGGGAAACUGCCUGAUGGAGGGGGAUAACUACUGGAAACGGUAGCUAAUACCGCAUACGUCAUCAUUCCACAUGGAAAGGUGACAAAAGACGCUACGGUGUCACUGUUGGAUGGGCCCGCGCUGCAUUAGUUAGUUGGUGAGGUAACGGCUCACCAAGACUAUGAUGCAUAGCCGACCUGAGAGGGUGAUCGGCCACACUGGAACUGAGACACGGUCCAGACUCCUACGGGAGGCAGCAGUGGGGAAUAUUGCACAAUGGGCGCAAGCCUGAUGCAGCCAUGCCGCGUGUAUGAAGAAGGCCUUCGGGUUGUAAAGUACUUUCAGCGGGGAGGAAGGCGUUGAGGUUAAUAACCUCAGCGAUUGACGUUACCCGCAGAAGAAGCACCGGCUAACUCCGUGCCAGCAGCCGCGGUAAUAC
rnacentral:rRNA from 1 species